UAUAAGGUUUUUUUAAAAACCAUCCAUAGAGUUUUUGAAAAAUAA
rfam:Pan troglodytes isolate Yerkes chimp pedigree #C0471 (Clint) chromosome 2B, whole genome shotgun sequence.